GACGAACGCUGGCGGCGUGCUUAACACAUGCAAGUCGAACGGAAAGGCCCUGCUUGCCGGGUGCUCGAGUGGCGAACGGGUGAGUAACACGUGGGUGAUCUGCCCCUUACUUUGGGAUAAGCCUGGGAAACUGGGUCUAAUACUGGAUAGGACCAUGCUGUAGGUGGUGUGGUGGAAAGAUUAGUUUCGGUAAGGGAUGAGCUCGCGGCCUAUCAGCUUGUUGGUGGGGUAAUGGCCUACCAAGGCGUCGAUGGGUAGCCGGCCUGAGAGGGUGGACGGCCACAUUGGGACUGAGAUACGGCCCAGACUCCUACGGGAGGCAGCAGUGGGGAAUAUUGCACAAUGGGCGCAAGCCUGAUGCAGCGACGCCGCGUGGGGGAUGACGGCCUUCGGGUUGUAAACUCCUUUCAGCCAUGACGAAGCCCUUGUGGUGACGGUAGUGGGAGAAGAAGCACCGGCUAACUACGUG
rnacentral:rRNA from 1 species